AACCUGCGGAGGGAUCAUUACACAAAUAUGAAGGCGGGCUGGAACCUCUCGGGGUUACAGCCUUGCUGAAUUAUUCACCCUUGUCUUUUGCGUACUUCUUGUUUCCUUGGUGGGUUCGCCCACCACUAGGACAAACAUAAACCUUUUGUAAUUGCAAUCAGCGUCAGUAACAAAUUAAUAAUUACAACUUUCAACAACGGAUCUCUUGGUUCUGGCAUCGAUGAAGAACGCAGCGAAAUGCGAUAAGUAGUGUGAAUUGCAGAAUUCAGUGAAUCAUCGAAUCUUUGAACGCACAUUGCGCCCUUUGGUAUUCCAAAGGGCAUGCCUGUUCGAGCGUCAUUUGUACCCUCAAGCUUUGCUUGGUGUUGGGCGUCUUGUCUCUAGCUUUGCUGGAGACUCGCCUUAAAGUAAUUGGCAGCCGGCCUACUGGUUUCGGAGCGCAGCACAAGUCGCACUCUCUAUCAGCAAAGGUCUAGCAUCCAUUAAGCCUUUUUUUCAACUUUUGACCUCGGAUCAGGUAGGGAUACCCGCUGAACUUAAGCAUAUCAAUA
rnacentral:rRNA from 2 species